UACGAAGGGGGCAAGCGUUGUUCGGAAUUACUGGGCGUAAAGGGCGCGUAGGCGGCUUAUCAAGUCAGGCGUGAAAUUCCCGGGCUCAACCUGGGGGCUGCGCUUGAUACUGAUGAGCUUGAAUGCGGGAGAGGAUAGUGGAAUUCCCAGUGUAGAGGUGAAAUUCGUAGAUAUUGGGAAGAACACCGGUGGCGAAGGCGGCGACCUGGUCCGAUACUGACGCUGAGACGCGAAAGCGUGGGGAGCAAACAGG
rnacentral:rRNA from 1 species